CAGUGUUUGUAAGACGCGUAAGUAAUGUAAGAGAGAAUGAGAGAGUGAGUCUGGGUAUAUAUUCUCAGUGAGCCCUGUAAUUGAAUUCAUCUUCUUUUAAUCAAUCGAUUACAAACCGUCGGCAAUGUAGACAUGAAAUUUCUCAUUGUUACUAUUGUAUCAGACUCAGAAAUCAUCAAUUUCUGAAGGUAACCGAUCCUAGCCUGUUAAUUUAUUCACCAAAAACUCCAUUAUUCAUCUUCAACAAUCACCACCACCAUUGAUGCAUCGUCAUCUUCCGGGUAAAUUCAUCUAAGAUUUGAGUCUAAUUCGGCUCCUCUAUGUGUUUCCAUCAACAUCUACAGUAACAAUUUGUAAAUUCUUUCUUCCAUCUUCAUUAAUUGUGUUUUUUGGUAAGAAUUAGAGUUUUCACCUGGUUUGAUACCUAAGCUACGUCAACAGACAAGAUUAAGUAUGAUUUUUAUAUUUGAAAUUUGGUUGAAUUACUUAAACUCUUGAUGCUUUUGGUCACCGUUUUCAUUUGGAGCCGGAUUCAUUUACCUCAACUGGUUCAAUUCAAACCUCUGCUGGUCUGAGCGUGUUCUAGUCCGUUACACCAAGGUCUAGUUAGGGCGAAAAAUUGAAGUCGUUCCACUCGAUUGGAUUCAGUAGAAAGUUGAGAGUUUGUUGGUGAAAAUGAUGCUUCACAAGGUGCUUAACAGCGCAUUCUUCAUACUUCCGACCUCAAUUCUUAUUUCAAGGCAGUCCUCACUGCGGUGUUGAAGUAUCUUGCGGUUUUUAAUGAUGUUUCGGUAUUUGGACUUCGAAUUCGAGUGGUGAGUUAUAUAAGUACAAGUUGGAGUUCUGUUUGUUGAGUUUGUAUAAACAACAAUUCUUCCUCCUUGUUCAGAAUGGUUUGGUAUGGUGUUGGUUUUCAAAGUCAGAUUAUUCUUAUUUUUCGCAAAUGGUAGUACAGUUAGUUUAGUAAGUUGGUGUUCAGUUUUACAGCUGUAUUGCCAUAGUUAGGGAGUAUAGAGUAUGUGGCCCGAUAUGCGGAGUCCUCCAUCUACUGGGAUCCGCACAUGUAAUCUCUUACUUAACAUUUUCAUGGUUAGUACAGUGGUUAGUUGUGUCCCUUAAAUACUAUUAGCAAUUACAAGGUCUGGGAUUCGAAUCCUUACAUCUUCCAAGGGAGGGAGCAUGAGAACCAUCAGACUACUUGAUGGUUCUCGUACUUAUUGUAUCUACUGCUGCUAAAUGCGCUGCAAUACUGACUGCGAGGCCAACAACUUUAUUUUGCUUCUGUCUGCAUCCUUUUGGUUUACUAUUUCUCUUGCAUUAUCUCAGGUAUGAAUUGUUUUCUAUAGUAUUUCCACCACAACUACUACUACUACAGCUGCCUCAUUUUCCUCUAUCACCAUUUUGGUUCCACUGGGACUAUUACUUCUAUUAGCAUCAUGUACUGCUACUGCACCAACUACCACAUCGUGUUUACUUCUUAUAUUUAAACUCUGCUGCAACAUCCAAUGUUAUUCUGCUAUGAAAACUGCACCUCCAGUUUUUCUCCCUUAGGUACUAUGCUAAUCUCUUGUUAUAGUUAUUGCAGUUUAAUGUCUGCCAAGAGUCUUGUGAGUAUGUUUGGUUCGUGUUUGUGUGUGAGAGUGCAAUCUUAACUGGUCUUGUUACAACCCACUAGAUAUUAAGGGAGGGUAUUAACAUACUGUACUGUAACUGUGUGUUUGGCUUGUGUGCAAGUCAUGUGAGAGUCGUGUGCAGUGAGAGUGUUAGUCAGUAUGAGCAACACAUGUGAGUAAUGUAAGAGAGAAUGAUAGAGUGAGUCCGGGUAUAUAUUCUCAGUGAGUCUUGUAAUCAACACAUGUGUUAAUUGAAUCCAUCUUAUUUUAAUCAA